rnacentral:tRNA from 1 species
CAGAUUCGUAGUUUAACAUAAAACAUUGGCAUUGGAAGCCAAAAAUCAAGAGUUACACUUGCAAUCUGA